rnacentral:rRNA from 1 species
UACGUAGGGGGCAAGCGUUGUCCGGAUUUAUUGGGCGUAAAGAGCGUGUAGGCGGCCAAGCAGGUCCGCUGUGAAAACUCGAGGCUCAACCUCGAGACGUCGGUGGAAACCGUCUGGCUAGAGUCCGGAAGAGGAAAGUGGAAUUCCUGGUGUAGCGGUGAAAUGCGCAGAUAUCAGGAAGAACACCCGUGGCGAAGGCGGCUUUCUGGGACGGUACUGACGCUGAGACGCGAAAGCGUGGGGAGCAAACAGG